rnacentral:rRNA from 1 species
GAUGAACGCUAGCGGCAGGCCUAAUACAUGCAAGUCGAACGAGAUUAAGAGGCUUGCUUCUUAUGAAAGUGGCGCACGGGUGCGUAACGCGUAUGCAACCUACCUUAAUCAGGGGGAUAGCCCGAAGAAAUUCAGAUUAAGACCGCAUAAAAACACAGGAUAGCAUUAUCCAAUGUUCAAAUAUUUAUAGGAUUAAGAUGGGCAUGCGUGUCAUUAGCUAGUUGGCGGGGUAACGGCCCACCAAGGCGACGAUGACUAGGGGAUCUGAGAGGAUGACCCCCCACACUGGUACUGAGACACGGACCAGACUCCUACGGGAGGCAGCAGUAAGGAAUAUUGGUCGAUGGAGGGAACUCUGAACCAGCCAUGCCGCGUGCAGGAAGACAGCCCCCUGGGUCGUAAACUGCUUUUAUUCGGGAAUAAACCUUUCUACGUGUAGGAAGCUGAAUGUACCGAAGGAAUAAGGAUCGGCUAACUCCGUGCCAGCCGCCGCGGUAA